UAGAAGACAGACUGAAUAACACAUAUUGGACCAUCCCAACAUAUACUUGAUUGACUUCACGGGCUCCUUGUCGCCCAUAACGGCCUUAAUAGUCAUCAUGCCGCCAAUACAAAGUUGCUCUAUUAAGGUAUAUAUUGCCUUCAGUUUGAAUACGCAAUCAUCAUGGAGAUUGGCGGAUCGAGGACCUACAGCAAGGAUACACAAUCAUAAGUCGCCAAAAUGUUUUACAACACGACUUUGCAAAUAAGUAUAGUGGCGGAUACUUACCAAACACGACAUUAGCCAUUUUGGAGAUGCGAAGUUUUAGCCCGGUCAGUUCCCGCACGGCGCCCUUCAUUUGUUCCUCGGCUUGUUCAGCCCUUUUCAACAAGGCGUCUCGCUCAGCUUCGGCCUUUUCUUCAAAC
rnacentral:lncRNA from 1 species